rnacentral:rRNA from 1 species
CUACGGAGGCGGCUAGCGUUGUUCGGAAUUACUGGGCGUAAAGCGCGCGUAGGCGGAUCGUUAAGUCAGGGGUGAAAGCCCGGAGCUCAACUCCGGAACUGCCCUUGAUACUGGCGAUCUCGAGUCCGGGAGAGGUGAGCGGAAUUCCUAGUGUAGAGGUGAAAUUCGUAGAUAUUAGGAGGAACACCAGUGGCGAAGGCGGCUCACUGGCCCGGUACUGACGCUGAGGUGCGAAAGCGUGGGGAGCAAACAGGAUUAGAAACCCUAGUAGUCC